ensembl:lncRNA
UUGUCACCCUCCACGGCUAAAUAAAGCACUCUAAAUCGGUUUCAGUAAUGUACUGAUUUACACAACAAUGGACAUAAGGGGCUUCUUUCAAAGAAAAAACUCAGCACAAAGAGGGAGCGAGAGGAACAGAGAGGGAGAUAGAGAGGAUAAUAAGGACAGAAGAGAAAUGGAACAAGAGCCAGGCCCAUGUUUUCCAGCUCCAGCUUUCUGAUAUCCGCUUGCAUGGCGCUGAUCACCUGGAUGAUUCUCCUUUUGCUGUCCAUGGUGCUGACCGCAGUCUUUUCCACCCUGUCUGCUUCUCUCAUGAAGGUACUCAGCCCACCUAUAGACACAUGUUCUAUUCCCACAUAUAUGCUUUCAUUUAAGGCUCAUUACACAGCUCUCCUUUGGGUCAACAAUGAUAUAAGCAGCCAAUCAGCAGCAGCAAUCUAGUCUGUCAUCGGACUGUUGGUGGUGGGGUCACCUGGGGUGAGUGCUAUUUUCUUCUUAGUGAUCUGAUGCCUACCACUUUCCCUCCUCCUGUUAAAUAUUCAUCUGCUCUGUCAAUGUAAAGGAACAAUU